GAUGAACGCUGGCGGCGUGCUUAACACAUGCAAGUCGAACGAUGAAGCCCAGCUUGCUGGGUGGAUUAGUGGCGAACGGGUGAGUAACACGUGAGUAACCUGCCCUUAACUCUGGGAUAAGCCUGGGAAACUGGGUCUAAUACCGGAUAUGAGCGUCCACCGCAUGGGGGGUGGUGGAAAGAUUUAUCGGUUUUGGAUGGACUCGCGGCCUAUCAGCUUGUUGGUGGGGUAAUGGCUCACCAAGGCGACGACGGGUAGCCGGCCUGAGAGGGUGACCGGCCACACUGGGACUGAGACACGGCCCAGACUCCUACGGGAGGCAGCAGUGGGGAAUAUUGCACAAUGGGCGCAAGCCUGAUGCAGCGACGCCGCGUGAGGGAUGACGGCCUUCGGGUUGUAAACCUCUUUCAGUAGGGAAGAAGCGAAAGUGACGGUACCUGCAGAAGAAGCACCGGCUAACUACGUG
rnacentral:rRNA from 1 species